rnacentral:rRNA from 1 species
CUACGGGAGGCAGCAGUGAGGAAUAUUGGACAAUGGGCGCAAGCCUGAUCCAGCCAUGCCGCGUGCAGGAUGAAGCAUCUAUGGUGUGUAAACUGCUUUUAUACAGGAAGAAACCUCCCGACGUGUCGGGAAUUGACGGUACUGUAAGAAUAAGGAUCGGCUAACUCCGUGCCAGCAGCCGCGGUAAUACGGAGGAUCCAAGCGUUAUCCGGAAUCAUUGGGUUUAAAGGGUCCGUAGGCGGGCCAGUAAGUCAGUGGUGAAAUCUCUCCGCUCAACGGGGAAAUGGCCAUUGAUACUGCUGGUCUUGAAUUAUUAGGAAGUAACUAGAAUAUGUAGUGUAGCGGUGAAAUGCUUAGAGAUUACAUGGAAUACCAAUUGCGAAGGCAGGUUACUACUAAUGGAUUGACGCUGAUGGACGAAAGCGUGGGUAGCGAACAGGAUUAGAUACCCUGGUAGUCCACGCCGUAAACGAUGGAUACUAGCUGUUGGGGGCAACUUCAGUGGCUAAGCGAAAGUGAUAAGUAUCCACCUGGGGAGUACGUUCGCAAGAAUGAAACUCAAAGGAAAUUGACGG